CACAUCACUUCUUUGCUGCCUA
rnacentral:siRNA from 1 species